UCUAAUUACCAUCUUAUAUUAAUCUGUAUUCAUUAUUAUUAUUUUUUUUAAUCUUAGUUUUGUUCAUUUAAAUUCAACAGGCUACAGUUUAACACCCUGUCCUUCGGUAAGCACAGGAAGCUAAUCAACAGCGCGUGCAUGAAGCAAAGAUGAAGGGCCAAGUGCAAACAGAAACAAACAACAGUAUGCAGUAAACGAAACUCAUCGGAAAUAUAUUUCCCCCAUUAAUUUCCUUUUGUGGGUUUAAUGAAACUUUUUCAGACUGACUUCCUGUGGCUCAUGGAUUCAGCUGUCAGUGAACAUUUCUUUUGCACCUUUUUUUAUCGUUAUUUAUUUAUUUAUUUAUUUAUUUAUUAUUUCGAUUAGCAAAUUUAGGCAGUCUGAGGUGUGUUUGGUUAGCUUUGUUGUUCCUCAAUUUUCUCAGAAAAACACUUGUUUACAUACGCUACUGUCCUCAUCGUGAGAUCAGAACAACACAAAGUCUCACCUGUUCCUGAACUCGUGUUUGUAGAUAUGCUGAAGCUCAUCUCUCUGAGUAACACUGAAUCUCUGCGUCUCGUGUAAAUACUCAAUAAAGUCCAGACCGACAGCCCGGACCUCAGAGUGAGAAAGCCGCAUAUUUAAGGGAUAAAUCGCUCCAGUAGUCCAGUGCAGUGAGGAUGUAGUGCGGAUGUAGUCUCUCACACACUCACAGCGCAGUUAAAUGACAGGGCUCGGCGUCAAACCGACUUACUCAUCAGACUCCCGUCCAUACCGGAGAAACGAAACUUAAGCACAGCCCUGUCUAUUGUGUCCUUGUUUCUGCGGAACACACGUAGGAACUUAUUCCUGGACCCUUAUGUGUUUACAAUGAAAUAAAUAAACACGUAUUGGCUGAGAAAUAUCCCAAACCUGAUUCAUCUCAAAAUUCCAAACUUUAAGCGUCAGUAGGAAACGGUGACAAGAGAAAGCGCCAUCUACCGCUUAAAGCAAGACACUACAGGACAAUUGGCUCAUUGUUAUACCGCAAUAUGGGUUGUGGGAGAGCCUGCUUCAGGGAACUCGGGGAAUAAGAUGGGGGACAUCCUGGACAGGGUGCCAACCCAUUGCUGGGAACAACUGCACACUAUGAACAAUUUGGAAAUGCCAAUCAGCCUACACUGGGGGAGGUAACUGGAGAACCCAGGGGAAACCCAAGAAGCACAGGGAUAACAUGCAAGCGCUGUGCACACAGCGCAGAGGUGGGAUUCGAACCCCCAACCCCAGAGGAGUUAGCUUUUUGCAGAAGCUCAGGACAGGGGUCACCACAGCAGAUCAUCCGUCUCCAUUAUGGAAAUCCGGUUUAGGAUCUGCAUAUUUAAUUUGGCACAGGUGUUACACAACAACAGAUACAACAACAACAACAACAACAACAACAACAACAACACCAACAACAAUAAGAAGAAGAAACUACUCUCCACCCAUUUUCCAUAUGUCUUAUUCUACACAGGACGCCUGGAGCCUAUCCUAUCUGUGGGAACUUGGGGCACAAAGUGGGGGACACCCUGGAUGGAGAGCCAACCAAUUGCGGGGCACAAUUGCACACACAUUCACACAAUGUCAGUCAGCCUACAACACAUGUCUUUGGACUAGGGGAGGAAACAGAAGUAGCUGGAGGAAACCCCCAAAGCAAGGGAGAACAUGCAAACUCCGUGCACAAAGAGCGGAGACAGGAUUCGCAUCCCCAACCCCAGAGGUGCGAAGAAAAUGUGCUAACCAUCAAGCCACUGUGCCCCCUGUCAAUAUAAUCCGCAAUUUUAAUAAUUUGUUAAUUAUACUGCAUCUGAAUAUACUGUAAUCUUGACUAUAUGACAGAAAAAAUAACAUGGCAUUUGUUAAAUCAGUUCUGAGUGGAUGCUCUGCUGCACUGAACUCAGCCAGCGGAUGGCGCUGUACACCUGUUCUUACAAGAACACAGCAGAAACAGCAAGGCAUUUAUAGUACAGGAUCAAAGCAGCCUCAUAUUAGUAACUUGCAUUUAUCUAUUCAUUAAUAUCCUAAGUAUCCUACAUAUUAAAAUUUAAAAUUAUUCUAAUUAUAUAUUCUAAUUUUUAAACUAUAUCUUCUAAUUCUAAUCUUUAGUAUUCUAAUUCUAAUCCCAGAUAGCAGAUAAUGAGGGCUAAGUAUGGUUGACUUUAGGCACAUAAAGGUUAUUUAUAAGAAAUGUAUAAGUCAAAUCUUAAAAUGAAGAAAUCUUAUAAGCCAUAAGAAACACAUUGUUGAUCACAAAGUGGUCCAACUGUGAGCAGCCAUAUUUAAGGGUUUUAUAAUAGUUGGAAUCCGGGACAAAGAUGGUCCAAGUGUAACUAAUCAUAUAUAAUGCUUGUGACCCAACUACAUUUAUGGUCCAUAUAAUGUCUGAGUCACAGUUAAGCUCUGGCUCUGGUCUGAGAGCCAGGCUGGGCCGGGUUCAUCACUGUCAUUUCACAGUGGUAUGUGAGCCAUCAGUCAUUUGCUAUCUGGAGUUGGCUCAUGUGCUCCUCCUUUGGACACAUUUUCCUCUUUAAUGCAGCCCAUUUGUUUGAUUGUCUUCACCAGUUCCAGAUUAAUUUUGGUACAGCUGCGCCAGUACCAGCCAAGAUACUCCAAAAGGCUACCAAGGGCUACUCCCUAUUGUUUCACUCUUUACAAUUUGUUUUAUUUUCAUCAGCGUGAAUGCCAGCAGACUGAUCCCAUCAGUAGAGCUUCUUCAUUAAAAGCGUCAUUCAUGGGAAAGCAUUACUUUAUGUGACAAAAACAAUAAACCUUUCAACUGAUGGAUGCUGCAAAUGGUAGAAGAUGAAGUUGAAUCAUUUUCAUAAAAAGAGCAUGAUGAUACAAUAAUCAGAACAAUACCCAAACCUUAUAUAAUCUCAUUUGAAUGUAACAUUGUUGUGGCUAAACUGCCGCUGAACUUAAAAACACAGAUUAAAAACACCAUUUUCCUGUUUGAUGUUUUGGUGCUAUAUAAAUACUAAAUGCUAUGUAAAGGUGUUUAUUCUUGUAAAUAAACUAACUCCCUCUGUACUCUGAUUUUUUCACAUCUAGUGAGCUGCAGGUCUGUGAAUACAUUAGCGGUCAUUACUAAGUGGUCCUCCCUCACUACCUGCACUUGUGAACUUAUCCGGACUCUGCUAAUACUCAUAUACGUGGGUUUCCUUCACUAUACCUCCUAUGUUCUCUUGGGUCAUUGUUUUCCACCUGCCCCACCAUGUAGAUGAAUAGCAAGCCUUGGCUAGCACAAUAAUUUGUAAUGUGCCUCAAUUAUUGUAAUUGAGGCACUGUUCAGCUAGACCACUAUGUCAGCCCACUUGUAAUGCAACAGCACUGGGCCAGGAGUCAGUAUCCCCCAGUCACCCCUUUUAUUUCCUCCACUGGAUCAUUCUCCCUCUGAUUUGUUUUUCCUUUAAAUUCCCACAUCCUCCAGGCCUUGUGACCGGUGGUUCCAAACUGCUAGAAUGUUUCCUCACCUUAACACACCACAGGUAGUGAUGGCCUGAGUAGGACUGGAUAGCGAUGUGCAGCGGGCUCUAUGAUACAACCUUAGACAACUUUACGAAUAAGAAAAGACACAUAUACAUUAAGAAAUGGUAG